UUGUAAAUUUUCUGAACUCGAACCUGCUGCAGAUGUAGAAUCUGCAACUUCUUGAGUCUCAAUCGUAGGUGGAUUAACUACUUUCUCACUCAAAGGAUCCCAAAACUUAUAUCCUUUUACACCUUUCUUGUAACCCAAAAAGAUGCACUUCUUUGACUUGGGAUCUAACUUUGAUCUCUCAUCA